CAGAGGAAAGUGCAGCUUUCACCGCCUGCCCCCCUCCCUCUCGCAGCUGCUGCCUUGGGGAACUGGCCUUGCAGCCUUGGUGCAGGAGGCCGCCUUUCCUUCCAAGCCACAAGGGUGACUGCAGCUGCGUGUGCUCAAGUGGCGAUCAAUUAACAGCCUCCUGCCGAGGUGUGAGACUUGUCCCCUGCACUCCAGCAUUGGCUACACGUGACACUCGCCUCUCGCUUCAGCCCCGGUGCCUCUGAAUGACUCGCCUUCACUUUUCACCUCUGGGCUGCUGCAUCCCGGGGCUGCAGACAACACGGGCAGCUGGUACCUGCGAGAGGGACUCGCAUUAAUCCGCACCUUUUUCACACGGCCCUAAUCCCAUUAGCACACCUGAAAUAAUAGCGUCGGUGACAAAUGGCCUCUUGUUGCAGCCAUGGCGCGGGCGGGCUGCGCGGAGAAUUGCUGCGGCCGGGUGCGGGCUUGUUUCCCUGCAGAGGAGAACGAGACAAUAGGGGGAGAGGCGAGCCAGGGGCCCACACCCGAAUUCUAGGGGCCGUUCGGACACGCUGGGCGGGAGAAGCGAUCGCAAAGCAGGGCCGUUUCGCUCCGGGCGGACGAUGUCCGGAGCGUCUCUGUUGGCUUGUUGUGUUAAGGGGAACAAAGCCCAGCUAGUGACCAGCGAGAGUGAUAGAAAGACAUUGCCCGCCCCAUGGUGUCCCGCCGGCCGGCCCCACCGCCAGCCUGCAGGCUCUGGAGCAAUCCGGAGUAAGGAUGGAAGUUCUCCUCCUUUGGAGACUGGAGUGACCCCGGGUGCCGCUUGAGAGCGAUCACGACGCAACGUGUGGAGUAAAGCUGUCUGGGGGAGCUCUUCAUAAGAGCUGGGGCGGGGGGGGGGGGAGGAGGUAUCCACCCAGCAGCGAUAGUUCUCACUCAUACUGCCCCAGAUCACAGGACAGAGAGGCCCCGAGCUGGGGUGUGCUAUGGAAAGCGAGGGUCUGUGUAACGCACAAGCCCGCUCACACACAUCGGCCGUUGAAGGCAAGAGCCCACGGGCCCCUUUAGCCUGCUCAGCGGGGGCAGGCCUUUGCACGAGGGAGAGGGGAGCCUGAAAGAGACACACAGCCCCCCCCCCCCCCCAAUUCACCCUGCUGGAGAGAGACAAACCGUGGAGCUCGAACGAGAAGAGGAUGGUUUAAAAACAAACAGCCUGGGGAGGAGCGGGAAGGGUUUGCCUGCGUUUAGCCCGGCAUCAAACGGUGCAGCGUCGCAGCAAAACCUACCAGGAGUGAGGCGGGGGGAGAUUUGCCUCUAAAUUGGUCACCAGGAAAGCCAUCCUCCUUGAAGUUCGAGCUGCUCUGUAACGUUGGCCCAUGUCCGGAGUCAUUUGUUUUAGAUAUGCACAACAGCUAGCGUCUGUAUGUAUUUAUUUGGUACGUUAUAAACAUUUAUCCAAACCAAUCACUGUAGAAAGUGAUCUCUGAGAUAAUCAUUCUUCUAGGUCCCCGCAGGUAAAACUAGUAGUUUGGGGUUGUUGUUGUUGUUGUUUUAAAAAACAAGACCAAGUAGUCACAAAACAUUGCCUGAUUCGUACAAGAUGUUAAUACAUAGCUGAAAAUCUUAACAAGGAUUUUUUAGUUAUUUAUGCUUGAGUUUACCUAUAUGUAUUAUUUGCAAAAUCCCUAUUCACUAAUGAAAACUAAACAUGCAACAUCCAAAAAGCCUACAUUACAUAUUUCUUCUUAAAGUUUAACUGCUCGCAAUUCCUGUUUUAAUUAUUUAAUUGUACCUUAUCAUCAGUAUUAUAGGUAAUCUGAAAUAUUUCUGUACUGUAUUCGCUAGACAAGUUGAAUACCAUGAGUUAAUCUGAAAGAAAUUAUAUGUUGAAUUUGUCUCUAAGCAAACAUAGCAUUUAAGGUUCUAACAAAAUACACUGAUUUUGCUAUAGUACAACUGAGGUUAUGAAAUACCAAUUUCCCAUUGCUAGUGGCUUUAAAAUUGUGUUUAUUUGUUAAUGGAUAAUUUGAAUGAGGCUUGUACUAGUUCACAAACACUUUCAUAUUGCUGUACCAGGGUUGACAUACCGUGUUAAACGUUCAAUAUACGCACAGGUUAAUCGCAUUUCUAUUUUGUC